UACGUAGGGGGCUAGCGUUGUCCGGAAUCAUUGGGCGUAAAGAGCGUGUAGGCGGCUUGGUAGGUCCGCUGUGAAAACUCGAGGCUCAACCUCGAGACGCCGGUGGAAACCAUCAGGCUAGAGUCCGGAAGAGGAGAGUGGAAUUCCUGGUGUAGCGGUGAAAUGCGCAGAUAUCAGGAAGAACACCCGUGGCUAAGGCGGCUCUCUAGUACGGUACUGACGCUGAGACGCGAAAGCGUGGGGAGCGAACAGG
rnacentral:rRNA from 1 species